rnacentral:rRNA from 1 species
UACGUAGGGGGCUAGCGUUGCUCGGAAUUACUGGGCGUAAAGCGCACGUAGGCGGCUUUCUAAGUCGGGGGUGAAAUCCUGGAGCUCAACUCCAGAACUGCCUUCGAUACUGGAGAGCUCGAGUCCGGGAGAGGUGAGUGGAACUGCGAGUGUAGAGGUGAAAUUCGUGGAUAUUCGCAGGAACACCAGUGGCGAAGGCGGCUCACUGGCCCGGUACUGACGCUGAGGUGCGAAAGCGUGGGGAGCAAACAGG